AUGAAGGGGAAAUAUCUGAUGUGCUAUAUGCAGGCCAGGCACUGCUUGAACGUGCGGCUCCCGUCGGUCGACCUCGUAUCGAUAAGGUGUGUGUCUACAAGGAAGUGGCUUAGAAGCUGCUCCUCUCCUCCCCCUCCUCCUCCUCCCUUCCCCACCUCACCGACUACCAGCCAUCCAGCCAUGGCUCAGCUCCUCCCUCUUUCCUCCGCUGCUCCCAGCUUCCGUCUCGCCGCGACGCCAGGCAAUGGCGUCCCCCGGUUGUCCGUGACGUCGGCCCGCUCUGCUGCUCGUGUGAGCAGGAGGAGCAUGAGGCCCAAGUCCCUGAGCGUGAGGUGUGAGCAGGGGUCCAAGGGCGGCCCCGGGCUGGACGUGUGGCUCAGCCGCGGCGCCAUGCUCGCCUUCUUCGGGGCGGUCGGCGUGGAGCUCACCACCGGCAAAGGGGUGCUUCAGAACGUAGGGCUGAUGGCGCCGCUGCCGGCGUUGGCGCUGGGGCUCACCGGAGUGGUCGGGGUCGUCACCGCAUUUAUCAUCUUCCAGUCGGGAUCGUCGGAUUGA
rnacentral:rRNA from 1 species